ensembl:miRNA
CCCUCUGCUGUGGUCUAUGGCUUUUUAUUCCUAUGUGAUUGCUUUUCCUAACUCAUGUAGGGCGAAAAGCCAUGGGCUACUCAGGGGAGGGACUCC